rnacentral:lncRNA from 1 species
AUGCGGGGGGCGGAGCCUGGCCCUGCCCGCGCGGGGGCGGGGGGUGAAGAGGACGCGAAAGGGGCCGGGAGGCAGCAGGAGGGCAGGCGACGGGGAGGCGCGGAGAGCCGACCCAACCGCAUCUGCCCGCCCGCCAGGUGCCCCCAGCCCGCGCCUGCCUGCCCGCCCUCCAGGUCCCCCGAGCCCACGCCUGCCUGCCCGCUCUCCAGGUCCCCCGAGCCCGCGGCUGCCCGCUCUCCAGGUCCCCCCAGCCCGCGCCUGCCCGCCCUCCAGGUGCCUCUAGCCCGCGCCUCCCCGCCCGCCAGGUCCCCCCAGCCCGCGCCUGCCCGCUCUCCAGGUCCCUCGAGCCCGCGCCUGCCCGCCCGCCAGGUGCCUCUAGCCCGCGCCUGCCCGCCCUCCAGGUGCCCCCAGCCCGCAUCUGCCCGCCCGCCAGGUCCCACCAGCCCGCGCCCGCCCGCCCGCCAGGUGCCUCUAGCCCGCGCCUGCCCGCCCUCCAGGUGCCCCCAGCCCGCAUCUGCCCGCCCGCCAGGUCCCCCCAGCCCGCGCCUGCCCGCCCGCCAGGUGCCUCUAGCCCGCGCCUGCCCGCUCUCCAGGUCCCCCCAGCCCGCGCCUGCCCGCCCGCCAGGUGCCCCCAACCCGCGCCUGCCUGCCCGCCCGCCAGGUGCCCCCAGCCCGCGCCUGCCCGCCCGCCAGGUGCCCCCAGCCCGCGCCUGCCCGCCCGCCAGGUGCCCCCAGCCCGCGCCUGCCCGCCCGCCAGGUCCCCCCAGCCCGCGCCUGCCCGCCCGCCAGGUGCCUCUAGCCCGCGCCUGCCCGCUCUCCAGGUCCCCCGAGCCCGCGCCGGCCCGCUCUCCAGGUGCCUCUAGCCCGCGCCUGCCCGCCCGCCAGGUGCCCCCAGCCCGCAUCUGCCCGCCCGCCAGGUACCCCCAGCCCGCGCCUGCCCGCCCGCCAGGUGCCCCCAGCCCGCAUCUGCCCGCCCGCCAGGUACCCCCAGCCCGUGCCUGCCCGGUCUCCAGGUCCUCCCAGCCCGCGCCUGCCCGCCUGCCAGGUCCCCCAACUCGCACCUGCCCUCCCGUCAGGUGCCCUCAGCCCGCGGCCGCCCGCCCUCUAGGUCCCUCCAGCCCGCAUCUGCCCGCCCGCCAGGUCCCCCAGCCCGUCCGCGCUCCGGCCCCCAGCGGGCGCCUCUCCCGCGCUCCGCACAGUGCGGUCCCGGGAGGCAGGGCCCCCGCCACGCGCCUCACGCUGCCCGCCGGCCCCCGUGCCCCGCCCGCCCGUCCGCGGUCCUCCACCCGCACCGCCCCCGGGCGCUGA